GGAAGUAAAAGUUGUAACAAGGUUUCCGUAGAUGAACCUGCGGAAGGAUCUUUAUUGUAUAACCGAGGUGCGAGGGCUGUCGCUGACCCGAAAGGUCGUGCACGCCCGAGUGCCCUCACACACAUCCAUCUCACCCCUAUGUGCACCACCGCGUGGGUCCCCCUUUGGCUUGUUCGGAGGGGGGCUUACGUUUUCACACAAACUUUGUAUGCAGUGUAGAAUGUAUUUUUUGUUUUUGCGAUCACGCAAUCAAUACAACUUUCAACAACGGAUCUCUUGGCUCUC
rnacentral:misc_RNA from 1 species